UUUCUUUCUUUGGCCUCUUGAAGGCUCAGAUCAAGUGUAGUAUCUGUUCUUACGUUCUCGAUGCGAGGACUGACGCAUUGAACGCAUUUUCUGGUGCCGGGAGCGGAACUCGGAGCUUGCUCCAUCCACUCCACACAUCGGCCCGGUUUUGCAGUUUAAUUGCUGAAAAAGACAGAGAAACACUU